UACGAAGGGGGCUAGCGUUGCUCGGAAUCAUUGGGCGUAAAGCGCGUGUAGGCGGUCCGGUAAGUCCGCUGUGAAAGUCGGGGGCUCAACCCUCGAAUGCCGGUGGAUACUGUCGGGCUAGAGUGCGGAAGAGGCGAGUGGAAUUCCUGGUGUAGCGGUGAAAUGCGCAGAUAUCGGGAGGAACACCAGUGGCGAAGGCGACUACCUGGCCUGUUCUUGACGCUGAGGCGCGAAAGCUAGGGGAGCAAACGGG
rnacentral:rRNA from 1 species